rnacentral:rRNA from 1 species
UACAUGCAAGUCGAACGCUUUACUUUUCACCGGAGCUUGCUCCACCGAAAAGUAAAGAGUGGCGGACGGGUGAGUAACACGUGGGCAACCUGCCCAACAGAGGGGGAUAACACUUGGAAACAGGUGCUAAUACCGCAUAAUUUGUUUUCCCGCAUGGGAGAAUAAUAAAAGACGCCUUACGGUGUCACUGUUGGAUGGGCCCGCGCUGCAUUAGUUAGUUGGUGGGGUAAUGGCCUACCAAGACCGUGAUGCAUAGCCGACCUGAGAGGGUGAUCGGCCACACUGGGACUGAGACACGGCCCAGACUCCUACGGGAGGCAGCAGUAGGGAAUCUUCGGCAAUGGACGAAAGUCUGACCGAGCAACGCCGCGUGAGUGAAGAAGGUUUUCGGAUCGUAAAACUCUGUUGUUAGAGAAGAACAAGUGGGAGAGUAACUGUUCCCACCUUGACGGUAUCUAACCAGAAAGCCACGGCUAACUACGUGCCAGCAGCCGCGGUAAUACGUAGGUGGCAAGCGUUGUCCGGAUUUAUUGGGCGUAAAGCGAGCGCAGGUGGUCUUUUAAGUCUGAUGUGAAAGCCCUCGGCUCAACCGAGGAAGGUCAUUGGAAACUGGAGGACUUGAGUGCAGAAGAGGAGAGUGGAAUUCCAUGUGUAGCGGUGAAAUGCGUAGAUAUAUGGAGGAACACCAGUGGCGAAGGCGACUCUCUGGUCUGUAACUGACACUGAGGCUCGAAAGCGUGGGGAGCAAAC